rnacentral:rRNA from 1 species
AUUGAACGCUGGCGGCAGGCCUAACACAUGCAAGUCGAACGAGUGGCGGACGGGUGAGUAACGUCUGGGUAACUGCCCGUUGGCGGGGGAUAACUACUGGAAACGGUCGCCAAUACAGCAUACCAUUGGAUGUGCCCCGAUGGGACUAGCUAGUAGGUGGGGUAACGGCUCACCUAGGCGACGAUCCCUAGCUGGUCUGAGAGGAUGACCCGCCACACUGAAACUGAGACACGGUCCAGACUCCUACGGGAGGCAGCAGUGGGGAAUAUUGCACCAUGGGCGCAAGCCUGAUGCAGCCAUGCCGCGUGUAUGAAGAAGGCCUUCGGGUUGUAAAGUACUUUCAGCGAGGAGGCGUUACUCGCAGAAGAAGCACCGGCUAACUCCGUGCCAGCAGCCGCGGUAAUUC